rnacentral:rRNA from 1 species
UACAGGCUUAACACAGUGCAAGUCGAGGGGCAGCAGGGAUUUAGCUUGACUAAUCCGCUGGCGACCGGCGCACGGGUGCGUAACGCGUAUCCAACUUUCCCGUUACUCAGGGAUAGCCUUCCGAAAGGGAGAUUAAUACCUGAUGGUGUUUGAAAUUCGCAUGUUCUUCAAACUUAAAGAUUUAUCGGUAACGGAUAGGGAUGCGUGACAUUAGAUAGUAGGCGGGGUAACGGCCCACCUAGUCUACGAUGUCUAGGGGUUCUGAGAGGAAGGUCCCCCACACUGGAACUGAGACACGGUCCAGACUCCUACGGGAGGCAGCAGUGAGGAAUAUUGGUCAAUGGAGGCAACUCUGAACCAGCCAAGUAGCGUGCAGGACGACGGCCCUAUGGGUUGUAAACUGCUUUUAUGCGGGGAUAAAUGAUUCUACGUGUAGGAUUUUGCAGGUACCGCAUGAAUAAGGACCGGCUAAUUCCGUG